rnacentral:rRNA from 1 species
AGUGAACGCUGGCGGUAGGCCUAACACAUGCAAGUCGAACGGCAGCACAGUAAGAGCUUGCUCUUACGGGUGGCGAGUGGCGGACGGGUGAGGAAUACAUCGGAAUCUACUUUUUCGUGGGGGCUAACGUAGGGAAACUUACGCUAAUACCGCAUACGACCUACGGGUGAAAGCAGGGGAUCUUCGGACCUUGCGCGAUUGAAUGAGACGAUGUCGGAUUAUCUAGUUGGCGGGGUAAAGGCCCACCAAGGCGACGAUCCGUAGCUGGUCUGAGAGGAUGAACAGGCACACUGGAACUGAGACACGGUCCAGACUCCUACGGGAGGCAGCAGUGGGGAAUAUUGGACAAUGGGGGGAAGCCUGAUCCAGCCAUGCCGCGUGGGUGAAGAAGGCCUUCGGGUUGUAAAGCCCUUUUGUUGGGAAAGAAAAGCAGCAGGUUAAUACCCCGCUGUUCUGACGGUACCCAAAGAAUAAGCACCGGCUAACUUCGUG